UUACGAUUUCAGAAGGGGUCUGUGGACCACGAACUCCAGCAAAUCAUUCGCGACAACCUCUACCUCCGCACCGUGCCGUGUAUCCUGUAUCCUGUAUGUAGUCAAAGAAUGAUGCCUCGUUCUCAAAAGAGAGAAGCCACUGGUGGUCUUUUGUGUAAAGUAACAGCCCUCGGCUCUUGCCACGUCAUCAUUUCUACGCAUAUGUGAAUAGCUGUCAAAUUAUCGAAGAGCUCAUCACCGCAUUGUAUGUCAACAGGAAUGAGAUGAAACAAGUCCACUCUUCAUUUUUAAAAACAUGUAUGUAGUUCCAAUUUUAGGCUAUUUUAGAGAGUAAGGUAUUCAAAAUAUUUUACUUUGAAAUAAUUAUAGAGUCUCGGGAUUUUCCAAUAAAAACCAACAUAAUGCAUAUAGAGGUCAUGUUCAUCCUUCAAUAGAAUAAAUUCUUAUUUUGUAAAGGGACUUAAAAUGUGCUUUCCCUGUAUCUGAAGACUCU